rnacentral:rRNA from 1 species
UACGUAGGGUGCGAGCGUUGUCCGGAAUUAUUGGGCGUAAAGAGCUCGUAGGCGGUUUGUCGCGUCGACUGUGAAAACCUACAGCUUAACUGUGGGCUUGCAGUCGAUACGGGCAGACUUGAGUUCGGUAGGGGAGACUGGAAUUCCUGGUGUAGCGGUGAAAUGCGCAGAUAUCAGGAGGAACACCGAUGGCGAAGGCAGGUCUCUGGGCCGAUACUGACGCUGAGGAGCGAAAGCGUGGGGAGCGAACAGG